rnacentral:rRNA from 1 species
CCUACGGGUGGCAGCAGUGGGGAAUAUUGGGCAAUGGGCGCAAGCCUGACCCAGCAACGUCGCGUGAAGGAAGAAGGCUUUCGGGUUGUAAACUUCUUUUCUCAGGGACGAAGCAAGUGACGGUACCUGAGGAAUAAGCCUCGGCUAACUACGUGCCAGCAGCCGCGGGAAUACGUCGGUGGCAAGCGUUAUCCGGAUUUACUGGGUGUAAUGGGCGUGUAGGGGGGAAAGCAAGUCAGAUGUGAAAACCAUGGGCUCAACCUGUGGCCUGCAUUGGAAACUGUCUUUCUUGAGUACUGGAGAGGCAGACGGAAUGCCUAGUGUAGCGGUGAAAUGCGUAGAUAUUAGGAGGAACACCAGUGGCGAAGGCGGUCUGCUGCACAGCAACUGACGCUGAGGCGCGAAAGCGUGGGGAGCAAACAGGAUUAGAUACCCGUGUAGUC